rnacentral:rRNA from 1 species
ACGGGGCCGCACAAGCGGUGGAGCAUGUGGUUAAUUCGACGCAACGCGAAGAACUUACCAGGGCUUGACAUCCCCUGACCGCGUAUGAAAGUACGUUUUCACCCUCGGGUGACAGGGAGACAGGUGGUGCAUGGUUGUCGUCAGCUCGUGUCGUGAGAUGUUGGGUUAAGUCCCACAACGAGCGCAACCCCUACGUUUAGUUGCUAACGCGUGAAGGCGAGCACUCUAGACGAACUGCCGUUGACAAAACGGAGGAAGGUGGGGAUGACGUCAAAUCAUCAUGCCCCUUAUGUUCUGGGCUACACACGUGCUACAAUGGCCGGUACAGACGGACGCAAAGCCGCGAGGCGGAGCAAAUCCGAAAAAGCCGGUCUCAGUUCGGAUUGCAGGCUGCAAUUCGCCUGCAUGAAGUCGGAAUCGCUAGUAAUCGCAGGUCAGCAUACUGCGGUCGAAUACGUUCCCGGGCCUU